rnacentral:rRNA from 1 species
GAUGAACGCUAGCGGCAGGCUUAAUACAUGCAAGUCGAGGGGUAGCAAGAUUGUAGCAAUACAAUUGUUGACGACCGGCAAACGGGUGCGGAACACGUACACAACCUUCCUACAAGUGGGGAAUAGCCCAGAGAAAUUUGGAUUAAUACCCCGUAACAUAGCGAUGUGGCAUCACAUUUCUAUUAUAGCUUCGGCGCUUGUUGAUGGGUGUGCGGCUGAUUAGAUAGUUGGCGGGGUAACGGCCCACCAAGUCUACGAUCAGUAGCUGAUGUGAGAGCAUGAGCAGGCGAGCGGGGACUGAGACGAGGGCCCGACUCCGACGGGAGUGAGCAGUGAGGAAUAUUGGACCAUGGACGCGAGUCUGAUGCAGCCAUGACGCGUGAAGGAUUAUGGUCCUCUGGAUUGUAAACUUCUUUUAUAAGGGACGAAAAAAGGUCUUUCUAGAUCGUCUGACGGUACCUUAUGAAUAAGCACCGGCUAACUCCGUGCCAGCCGCCGCAGUAAAAC